CGUCCCCAAGUCAGGCGU
rnacentral:rRNA from 7 species